rnacentral:rRNA from 1 species
GUCCACGCCCUAAACGAUGGGCACUAAGUGUAGGAGGUAUCGACCCCUCCUGUGCCGCACCUAACGGAUUAAGUGCCCCGCCUGGGGAGUACGGCCGCAAGGUUGAAACUCAAAGGAAUUGACGGGGGCCCGCACAAGCGGUGGAGCAUGUGGUUUAAUUCGACGCAACGCGAAGAACCUUACCCAGGCUUGACAUGCUGGUAGUAGUGAACCGAAAGGGGAACGACCCCGCAAGGGGAGCCAGUACAGGUGCUGCAUGGCUGUCGU